UCCAGUUGACACUCUCUAAACUCUCUAAAGUCCACUGUCGGUGCGAUGGAACCAGCUCAACGUAUUAAUCGUUGAAUGCAUUGAAAGCGCUCUUGAACAGUCUGUCAAAUAAAAGUUUUUUUUUGAGAUUCAUCCAUUGAAGAAAAUUAACAUAAUCAAAUUGUGAUAUUGGAAUAUAUUGAUAUCGCGGGACAUUUUCGUUUCUUUUGCCAAAUGCGGGACGUUUCGCGGGACGGAAUCUUACGCGGGACAUUUUGUUGAAAUGCGGGACUGUCCCGCGUAACGCGGGACGUCUGGUCAGUUUACUUGUUCAGGAUCUUGUAAGAACUGUGGCUCACCAGACAGCAUAAGAAUACAAAACGGUGCAUAUAUAAUCGAAGAGAUGGCAACCUAAUAUUUCCGUCGAUUAACGAAGCUGUACAGAAAAAUAAUUAAAUCAUCAAUCACGAUUACACUGUAGGAGUUCAAUUUUGACUAGGUUUAUUGUAGCCGCCACCCAACCAAGUUUUAUGUAUGAUGAAUCUGCGGAUCUGCUAAGUGGAUGGCGUCAGAAAUCAGGCACCUACUAACAUCUAUAAGUUUGAACGGCAAUUCGCUCGCAAAGCGAAUUGAAAGCUCUAGAACUCAGCCAACUUGCGUCGGCUUUUAAUAAAAAUACUUGAGAUUAGAUCCAUGAGUAAUAUUUUCAUAUGGACUUCAGCGGAUAAAAAAAAACUAAAAAGCUUCCCGAGCUCGGUAAAAAUAACAAAAAAGAGAACAAACCAUUUAAUAGUAAUAGCUAACAUUUUUACCAAUAGAAAAAUGGAGGGUUGUCCACGUGGACAAGAUGGGGAGGGGUAUCAGGUAUGUCCACGGAGAGAGGGGGGUAUUUAAAAUCGUGCUUUUCCUAUCCACGUAGUAUGUGGAUAGCCCCUUCAAGCUAAUUUAUAUUUUUUGUGAUUUCAAUAGUAUCAAAUAUUGUAUAGUAUCCAUUAUGUAAAUUUUCUAAUACAACAUAGUAUCGUAUUUCAAAAAAAAAAUGCAACGUAGUUUUUCAAAUUUUUACGUAUAUUAAUCGCAUCAGAAAACGUACAUCGCUAGC